CAUAAAAACAACAAUCUGAUUAAGAAAAAUGUUAUUAAAAAUGAUAACUAAAAUUUUGGAAUUGGAUUAAAACCACAUUCAAAUGGAAUUCUUCUUUCUAAAUUUAUUUUUUUUAUUAAAGAUAAAUAU